rnacentral:rRNA from 1 species
GACGAACGCUGGCGGCGUGCCUAAUACAUGCAAGUAGAACGCACAGUUUAUACCGUAGCUUGCUACACCAUAGACUGUGAGUUGCGAACGGGUGAGUAACGCGUAGGUAACCUGCCUGGUAGCGGGGGAUAACUAUUGGAAACGAUAGCUAAUACCGCAUAAUAUUAAUUAUUGCAUGAUAAUUAAUUGAAAGGUGCAAUUGCACCACUACCAGAUGGACCUGCGUUGUAUUAGCUAGUAGGUGAGGUAACGGCUCACCUAGGCGACGAUACAUAGCCGACCUGAGAGGGGGAUCGGCCACACUGGGACUGAGACACGGCCCAGACUCCUACGGGAGGCAGCAGUAGGGAAGCUUCGGCAAGGGACGAAAGGCUGACCGAGCAACGCCGCGUGAGUGAAGAAGGUUUUCGGAUCGUAAAGCUCUGUUGUAAGAGAAGAACGGGUGUGAGAGUGGAAAGUUCACACUGUGACGGUAUCUUACCAGAAAGGGACGGCUAACUACGUG